GAGGGUGUAGCUCAAGUGGUAGAGUGAAUGCUUAGCACGCAUGAGGUCCUGGGUUCAAUUCCCAGUAUCUCCU
rnacentral:tRNA from 1 species